UCACAAUCUCAGUUCUCUAACCAAGCAAAAUUCCAGAAUCCAAAAAAAGACAAGAAAUCGUCAGCUCCUUGAAGACUCUAUCCUGCUACUUUCCUGCCGGAUUGAAGAAUACAUUUAGCACAAACUCCUUGUAAUAAAAAAAAAAAAAAAAAAGAAAGAAAUGUGCAGUCAGGGGAAAAGAAAAAUGACAAUGCAGCUAAGGUCAGCAAGAUAGAAAUUCAUUACUUUUCAUGCUUUGUCGAACCUAUGAGAACGGCUUCGUUUUAAAGAGAUGCAAAAUCUAGAUCGAAAUGCUAUUCAUUCGAGGGGCUAUGGCAACAAAAGGGGGGUCUGUGGCCUGGCCACAUAAACCUUGACCUUUAACCCUUUAUUUCAAUCCAAGAAACAAAAUGUAAAGUGCAAAUCUGGACUAUCAUAGGAAGGCUGAAUGCCAGCAAACGUUUGUCUUGGUCUGACCUAGCAAGAGGAUUUUUAUGAAACAGCAGAAGCCUUGGAAAGUGUCAUGUGACUCUUUUUUUCCUGGUAUGAACCAUGUGCCUGCGUAUCAUUUUGCUGUGAAAUACUAUGCGGAUUUCAGCCCAACCUGCCUCUGCUUCUAAGGCAUGACACGAGUCUGUGAGGGAGCAUGAGAACAGUUCUCCAUGAAAGGCAAGGUUUUCAUAGUUGGCCUGUAACCAUGGAAGCAGAUGCCUUUUUUUUUUUCCGCUUGCCCCUGCUUACCUCUUUGCAGCCAAGAGCUGCUCCCUUUUGUUUUGGGGGGGUACGCCUUGAUUUUUCCUUUACCAUGAGCGAACUUGCUUCUUCUUCAAAGGGCACGGUGAUGCAGGUCAUUGGUCUAGACUGUUUGAACGGUCGAGGGAACAGCCUUGAUGUAACCCUUGCUCCUUCAGAACCACACCACCAGCCGUGCGACUGCAGACUGUAGGGGGACAUUUGAGCUCUGUAUUGAAAAGGAGAUAGUCCGAUUUUGCCAUUGUGCCUUUUCACUCAUCGAUCGAAUGAAUAUCGAACCUUCUGUCGUUGCAUGUGUGAAAUAGAUAGCUUAGCAAGCACUUUUCCAACCAAACCUGAGCGUAUAAAGAAAUCCAAAGUUCUCUGCCAAAGUAAAACCACUUGAGGGUGACAGCCAGCACCACCUGCUCAGUCUGGGAGAGAAGUCUGAUAGUGAGGACUCAACAACCUGAUAUCAAAAUACCAAGAGGACUUAACCAAUCUUCAUGGUUGUGCUCUCAGUAUUAGACUUUGGUUGCCUCCAACGUGACUAGAAAGCCAAGCCGGAGCCGAACAAGGAGGGCUGAAGAGCAAACAACCUUUUGAACAAACUUACAAGAAACACAGUGUAUAAAAAUCUAAGAAGCUCAUUGGUAUGCCAGAAGCGGGUUGAUAAAGACGCCUGUAUCCACAGUUGGAGCCUGCAGGCACCAGGGAUUAUGGGUAUUAAGAAUAUUACCAUUUCACUAAAAUGAAGAAGAAAAACGAGAAGGUUUAACCUGCGAUAUGGAACUCAACAGUUGAGAAUGUUGUUAUGAUAUAAUUAUAAGCGGGGGAAAAAAUCUGAAUUUAUAGAAAUUUUUGAAUAUUUAAAUUAGAUUGUUUAGAGUUUAACAAAUCCCAAAAAUUUUGCAUCUCUUUAUAAUAUUAAAAUAAUGAC